AUUGAACGCUGGCGGCAUGAUUUACACAUGCAAGUCGAACGGUAACAGGCCGCAAGGUGCUGACGAGUGGCGAACGGGUGAGUAAUGCAUCGGAACGUGCCCAGUCGUGGGGGAUAACUACUCGAAAGAGUAGCUAAUACCGCAUACGAUCUAUGGAUGAAAGCGGGGGACCGUAAGGCCUCGCGCGAUUGGAGCGGCCGAUGUCAGAUUAGGUAGUUGGUGGGGUAAAGGCUCACCAAGCCAACGAUCUGUAGCUGGUCUGAGGGGACGACCAGCCACACUGGGACUGAGACACGGCCCAGACUCCUACGGGAGGCAGCAGUGGGGAAUUUUGGACAAUGGGCGCAAGCCUGAUCCAGCAAUGCCGCGUGCAGGAAGAAGGCCUUCGGGUUGUAAACUGCUUUUGUACGGAACGAAACGGCUCUGGUUAAUACCCGGGGCUAAUGACGGUACCGUAAGAAUAAGCACCGGCUAACUACGUG
rnacentral:rRNA from 1 species